ACUCAAAUGAAUAGACGGGUCCCCGCACAAGCAGCGGAGCGUGUGGUUUAAUUCGAUGCAACGCGAAGAACCUUACCCAGGCUUGACAUGGCCCGGAAACCCCUGGAAACAGGGUCCCCGCAAGGCCGGGUCACAGAUGUUGCAUGGCUGUCGUCAGCUCGUGUCGUGAGAUGUUGGGUUAAGUCCCGCAACGAGCGCAACCCUCGUGCUGUGUUGCAAAUCACAGCAGACUGCCGGUAUAAGCCGGAGGAAGGUGGGGAUGAUGUCAAGUCCGCAUGGCUCUUACGCCUGGGGCUACACACACGCUACAAUGGCCGGGACAAUGCGCGGCGACCUCGCGAGAGGAAGCGAAUCGCAAAAGCCGGUCUCAGUUCGGAUGGCAGGCUGCAACCCGCCUGCCUGAAGUCGGAGUUGCUAGUAACCGCGUGUCAGCAUAGCGCGGUGAAUACGUUCCCGGGGAUUGUACACACCGCCCGU
rnacentral:rRNA from 1 species